rnacentral:rRNA from 1 species
UACGUAGGUGGCAAGCGUUGUCCGGAUUUACUGGGCGUAAAGGGCGCGUAGGCGGCCCGUCAAGUCCCGUGUGAAAGCCCCCGGCUCAACCGGGGAACGGCGCGGGAAACUAGCAGGCUUGAGUUCGGGAGAGGGAAGCGGAAUUCCGGGUGUAGCGGUGAAAUGCGCAGAUAUCAGGAGGAACGCCGGCGGCGAAAGCGGCUCUCUGGCCUGUUACUGACGCUGAGGCGCGAAAGCUAGGGGAGCAAACGGG